ensembl:lncRNA
UGAGGAUAACUUCCUGACCCAGAUAUUGGACAGCGCAAUCAGAGAUGAAGUGUUAUUGGACCUGGUGCUCACCAGUGUGGAAGGGCUUAUCAUGGAAGUUAAGACUGAAGGCAGUCUGGAAUGUAGUGACCUUACUCUGGUCAAGUUUGCAAGUUCUUGAGAAACAGUGGCAAAGAAACUAAAGAGGGAACUUGGCCCUCUAUUUCUGAAAAGUAAUGAUAUGAAAUAAGCCCACCAAUAAUAAGGCUGAACAGAACAGAAGAUACGGGUUUUAUUACUCUCUUUUGGCCAGCUUCCCUUCUUCAGGGCGUCACUGGAAUAAGAAGGCUGUGGCAGAACUGCUGUAAUAGGUGCAGUGUUAAAAAUAUGAUGAUAUAAAUAGCCAAACUGAGCUUAAAGUGGAGGGAAGGUCAGAGGGCUUUUUUGUUGUUUUUUUGGUUUUUGUUUUGGUUACUGCUACUUAAGGUGAACAAAUCACUCUUUAGUCUGGGAAAAACAAUAUUAUUUCAUCAAAUAUUUUAAUAGUUGCACGCUUGCACAUUUAUUUAUUUGCUGCCUUCUAAAAGUCUUUUCCUCCUUCUCCCUGAUUCUGACAUUUUUAAAGUAUGUCUAUUUUAAUUGCUCCAGAUUUGUCUCCUUUGUCCCUGAUGGGAUUUCCCCUUGCCUUUUCCUUUGUCUGUGUUCUGCAUGGAACAGAAGCUGUGUGGAAUUUGGAGCUAUUUUAAUGAAAAAAAAAAAAUUGGGAAUUAAUUUACUGACUGUCUUUUCGUUCCAUUCAAGUGAAGUGAUUGCACUAAGCAGCAGGAAAGGGGAAUGCUGAGGUCUCAGAGAUGAAACAUCCCAGCAGCCCAUCUCUUCUCAGGCAGACUGCACAUGUAAAGUUACUUAGUCACGUGGUCAGCAGUGCUGUCCCACCCAGGUAUUGAGAAACUUUGGAUUUACCUACCCUCCACAAUCACAGUAUACUGAAGCCAGUGCCCACCAGUCCUUGGGUUCUCUCUUUUCCUGUUUUAAAGAGGAAUGUGGCACAUGGUAUUUUGUCUUCUUCCUGGCUUCAAAGUUUCUCCCACCUGUCAUGGAUGGAGCCUCAGAAACAACCACAAGCACCUGUAUUAGAGCCUCAGCCAUCUCCUUUGGUGGCUCCAGAAUGCCUUUCCCUAGGCAUUCUAACCUGCCAGGUCUAACCUGCCUGCUUUUAC